CUCCUCUUUGGGUUGUGGUUGGUUGGCUCUACUUGGGGAGGUGGAGUAGAGCAAAGAGAACAAAAAACAUCUGGUGAUUAACUCUCUCUGAGUCUGUCCAUGUACGUAUCCUGUCUGUGUGUACUGUACUGCGCACCAAUGUGGCAACAAACGAUGGUCUGCUUCAGGGGAAGAAAUCCAAAGAACAGAAAAAAACCGAGAUUAACGAGAUUAACGAGAUUAACGAGAUUAAUAGCAAAGCAUUACAAUUACACUUUCAAAUCAACAGGAAUAUAGAAGUACACAAAACUUAAAGACUAACCAGUGGGGUACACUAAACAUGAUGACAGAUUAGUGUAGAACACAAGGCUAGUACAGUACGGUAGUACACUGGACAUGAGAACACAGAAAAGACAACAGUGUUUUUUGUAGGCCUGUGGGAAAAUAUAUCUUAAGAGUGGUCUUGAAUGUGUGCAGAGAGCUGUGAUUGUACAGUAACUUGUGCAUCUGUCUGUCUUUAGGACUAUCACAAGAACAGACACUCGGGCUGGAGCCGAGGCUCAGUGGCCGACUGUGCAGGCAUUUUCAAACCAAGCAGCUCUGGGCACUAUCUCUCUCGGCUGGAGCUGGAGAAGGAGGUCGAGCUGGAGAAGGAGGUAGAGCUGGAGAAGGAGGUCGAGCUGGAGAAGGAGGUAGAGCUGGAGAAGGAGGUAGAGCUGGAGAAGGAGGUCGAGCUGGAGAAGGAGGUCGAGCUGGAGUAGGAGGUUGAGCUGGAGUAGGAGGUCGAGCUGGAGUAGGAGGUCGAGCUGGAGAAGGAGGUCGAGCUGGAGAAGGAGGUCGAGCUGGAGAAGGAGACACAAAAACAGUGAAGGGCGAAGACAAAACACUGUGAAGAGGUUCUGCCUGGUUUGGUUUGCCACCUCAGUCAUCUGUGAAACCACAGCACCCUAUUGGCCCUGGUUCAAAGUAGUGGUGCCAUUUGGGAAUCAGUUCAUCUCUUUUUUUUAUGUUCUGUGGCUGCCAGCUGCCUGCGUGUCAUAUCAUUAGGAUCAAUCACAAGUGUUUAUUUUAUGAUAUUGGCACAGACAGUGAGGACCUCCAUUCCGUGUGUUGCGACAGUGUGAUGGUGCUGACUGUGCCAACAGACCAUGGACCCUCUUCUGUGCUCAGAGCGGACCGAGGCAUAGCGCCCUGUUUAGGUGUGAGUGUUUGUGUGUGUCUUUGUGUGUGCAUGCGUGCUGUGUGUUAGUGUUGCAGUGUCCUGUUGGGAGCAGCCAGUGAGACAGCGGCUCACCAAGUCUCAUUAACCAUGUCAGCUUGGCGGGCGCUGGGCUAUCAAGCACGGCCCCAUCACAGCUCAUCAUCAGUGACUCACCAGCAGCAUGAGACCCCGCCCUUCAACAACUAGCACUACCUAACCUGGCUGUUACUGGUCCAAACCUGCCCUACAACCACCACCAAUACCUAACCUGGCUGUCACUGGUCCAAACCUGCCCUACAAUCACCGCCAAUACCUAACCUGGCUGUCACUGGUCACACCCUGCCCUACCACCAUCAUCACCAGCUACAGGCCCUACCUUAUCGCCACCACUACUUUGCCAAAGUGGCACAGGCCCUAUCCUACCACCAACACUACUUUGCCUAAGUGGCACAGGCCCUAUCCUACCACCAACACUACUUUGCCUAAGUGGCACAGGCCCUAUCCUACCACCAACACUACUUUGCCUAAGUGGCACAGGCCGUAUCCUACCACCAACACUACUUUGCCUAAGUGGCACAGGCCCUAUCCUACCACCAACACUACUUUGCCUAAGAGGCACAAGCCAUAUCCUACCACCAACACUACUUUGCCUAAGUGGCACAGGCCCUAUCCUACCACCAACACUACUUUGUCUAAGUGGCACAGGCCCUAUCCUACCACCAACAUUACUUUGCCUAAGUGGCACAGGCCCUAUCUUACCACCAACACUACUUUGUCUAAGUGGCACAGACCCUAUCCUACCACAAACACUACUUGUCAAAGUGGCACAAGCCCUAUCCUACCACCAACACUACUUUGUCUAAGUGGCACAAGCCCUAUCCUACCACCAACACUACUUUGUCUAAGUGGCACAGACCCUAUCCUACCACAAACACUACUUGUCAAAGUGGCACAAGCCCUAUCCUACCACCAACACUACUUUGUCUAAGUGGCACAAGCCCUAUCCUACCACCAACACUACUUUGUCUAAGUGGCACAGACCCUAUCCUACCACAAACACUACUUUGUCUAAGUGGCACAAGCCCUAUCCUACCACCUCCAUAGUCACAUUUUAAGAAUUAAGACCUGCUGUAUGUAUCUUCUAGAUCAGUGGCUGUGGUGUUAAGAUCCAUACACGUAUUCUAGCUGGUGAUGUUGUUGUUGAGGAAUCAGUUGAGUCAAAGUUCCCAGGGCCUGGCCAGGGAGGGAUUGAGGGAAGCCCCUGUGUUUUUCAGACAUACUCUCUUACUACGAACGCCAACCAGCCCUGUUCUCUCGUUCUCGCCUCUGUGUUCCUCCAUCCCUCCGGUGCUCAGCUGCCUUCCAGCCAGGUCUCGGCCAGGUCUCGGCCAGGUUACCUGGCAUGGCGAGCAGUUGUCUAAGGUGCCAGAGAGCCUUGCCGUCUCUCUAUCCACACUCUACACUGCUAUUUUUUAGCCACACUCCUCUCCUCCCCCUUAGUGGCACCAGUGUUUGCUGAGUGUGUUGUGUGUGUUGUGACAGAAGCCCUCAUGGGAGCACUAAUGAUAGUGUCUCCAUCUCUCUCCCCGUCCCACACACUCACACACACACACACACACACACGGAUAGAGAUUGUUUAAACAGUGUCUUAAGCCGGGGAUGGCUCCCAUGACAACUCCAAAAAUAUUUACAAGCAACCAAGCAACCAAGGAUCCGGAAAGGAUCAUGUCUGCAGCAACCGAGCCACACACACUGCAGGCUACCUUUUUUAUUAUUGUCUCCCUCUUGCUUUAUUUUUUAUUGUUUUGUUGUUUUUCACCAGAGAUUGAAUUUGUUUUACUUAAUGAAUCCUGAAGUAAUGUUAUGUAUGUGUAUAGAUGCGUGUCGUAGAGCCCUGUUUGACCCAGUGAUCAUGUCCAUAACAUUGGGAUGCUACAAGAGCAUUUCCCCUUGCUAAUUGCUGUACACAGUGUGCAAAAUAGACCAGAACAUUCUGACUAGAUGGGACAGCUAGGCACUAAAUCCAGAGUUUGAAAAUAUUAGAGCAUCAAGUGCAGCACAUUUAUCUUGCUGUUUAUCUAGCUGUUCACCUAGAUAUUUACCUAGCUGUUUACCUAGCUGUUUACCUACUUGUUCACCUAGCUGUUCACCUAGAUAUUUACCUACCUGUUUACCUAGCGGUUUACCUAGCUGUUAACAUAGCGGUUUACCUAGAUAAUAAUUUCCUUCUGGACAUCCUAAAAAUAGUUUCAAGUGAAAUUCCACUGCAGGUGUUUCUAGUUUUCAAGAUUUGGCCAGGGUUGUUCCGGUUUUUGGUCACUAGAUGCCCCCAUUGUGCCUUUUGACCUUUUGUUUUCCCUU